CGCGUAGGCGGUCUUAUAAGUCAGAUGUGAAAGCCCGGGGCUCAACCCCGGAAGUGCAUUUGAAACUAUAGGACUUGAGUAUGGGAGAGGGAAAUGGAAUUCCUGGUGUAGAGGUGAAAUUCGUAGAUAUCAGGAGGAACACCGGUGGCGAAGGCGACUUCCUGGACCAAUACUGACGCUGAGGCGCGAAGGCGUGGGGAGCAAACA
rnacentral:rRNA from 1 species